CAAUCCCUGCAUAUGAACGUGUUUGAGGGCCGCUCCAUGCUCUCGCUCCCGCAGUGCUCCAUCCGCGUCGGGACAGCUCCGCUUCCAGCCGCUUGAUCCCACAAAUCUUUUUAAUGUGAUGUACUCAUAACCACACAUUAAUUGACACGUGAUCCAAGAAUCAUGUCAGCUGUGACAUGAGUACCCAUCACUACCCUAUUUCACCUCCCUAGGUUGGCGAAAGUUAAAUUCACUACCUUAACUGGCGCCCCUAAGUUGGCGAAAGCAAAAUUUAUUACAGUUGCUUGGGUAAUUUUUGAUAGACAACGAUCUUUACAUGUAGCAUCCCAUUAAAUGAUCUGUCCUUCCCUCCAAGAGAUGUGUGGAUUGUGCAUGCACAGCCAGGAUAAUCCAAGAAUGAUUGCAUGACUGGGACGUAGAAUCGAAUGAAUUUCAACAAGGAACCUCACUUGCGCAGAAUUUUCCUUACUCCGAGGGGGGCAUCCGUCUAGCGCCUCCACUGCAAGAGGAGAGUGACAGGGUGUUGGCUUUAGUUUGUGUUGCUGAACAAAUUCAUAAGAAACAAAAUUACCAGCUGCUCCAGAGUCUAAUAAAGCAGUAGUGGUGAUUGCUUGAUCAGUGACAAAUAACCUGACUGCUAACAUUAUGUUCGACGCAGAGGUUGCAAUACAAGUAUUUACACUCACCGAUCGAGAACUAGGUGAUGGACGAACCGAACAUAUGUGUUCAUGUGUCCUGCUUGACCACAGUAGAGGCAGAACUGGUUCUGCAUGCGAGUGAAUCAAGUUGCAGUAACAAAACUCAAGAACCAAUUAAGUAAUUUAGAAUUUCAGAGCAAAUUUUCAGAUCUUAAAGACAGAAUUAAAUUUAAGAAUUUGUGUUGUUGAAUGACCUAGAAAUUGUAUCUCAUUCAGUUUAUGACACCUGUCCAGGUUCAGAUACUGGGCCAUCAGACAGAAUAGAAUCUUGAGACAAUAUCGGGAGACACUGCAGGGUGAUGGCCCAUUAUAUGCAGUCGAUCCAAAAAGCUGACUUCUAAGUACAAAAUGGAUUUCAGUGUGAUGAACUGACAAUCUGACUUUAAACUUUUAAAUGAAAUGGAAAACAGGAGGAAAAAUGUGUGGGCACGGGACAUUAAUAUAAUCUUGUUAACCAAAUAACCUGGAGAAAAUUACCUAGAUAUAAUUUUAUCAAAAUAGCAGCACUUGCUGCAAAUCUAACCUAAACAUCUGUGUGAUAAUACACGUAUUUUACAGAUUAUCUUGAACAUGCACACACUAUAAGAUUUGAAAACCGUGGCGCAUCACACACUGUAAGAUAUUAAGAUUAUCAUGACGGAGGGAGCACCUCACGUGAUCUUAAGCAACAGAUCGUCAUUUCAGCAACUAAAGCUUAUAAAUCAACGAGAUGUUCUUGAUCUGUGACAAGACUAUUUGAAUGCUUUCGCUUACUGGAUCCUUGGACUUUCCAGGGGUUUAGCAGUUCAAAAUUAUGUGAUCACAACAAACUGCUUCUAUUCAUUUUUAAGGUAUUGUUUUCGUUAACCUAUAAUGUACUAAUUCGAGAGCCCGGUCUCGGAAAAUGCAUAUCAAUAGCACGAUUUUAUGUUUCUAUUUGGCGUGCUAUUCAUACGCUGAAAUGGACAUUGACGUGCAUAAUACACAGUUUUUGUGCGCAUAUUAUACGCAUCUACCCCACACCCCUAAUCCUACACAGUAGUGUCGCAGCGACUCUACUGCGGCAGUGUAGAAAUACGGAGAAGGCUUCUGCGGGAGCGAAUACUGCUGCAACAGGGUGGAAAUAUGGAGAAGGCUCCUGCGGGAGCGGACACCGCUGCGGCAGUGAGGAAGUAGAGAAAAGGAUCCUGCGGGAGCGACACUACUGCGGCAGUGUAGAAAUACGGAGAAGGUUUCUGCGGGAGUGGAUUCUGCUGCGACAGGGUGGAAAUACUGAGAAGGCUCCUGCGGGAGCAGACGCUGCUGCGGCAGUGUGGAAAUAAAGGGAAGGUUGCUAGUGAAGGCAGCUUUUGGCGGGACAUGCUGAAAUGUCCGGGUAGCCUGCAGUGUUGCCAGAUUUAGUGAUUUCUCAGACUACCAUUGCAACUUGUUUUUCAAAGCAACUAGCAACAAAUGCAGCUAUUUUAACAACCUUCAAAAGUUAUAAAUAGUAAAACUUUUUUUUAUAUUAUUAUUAUUUAUUUAUUUGUUUAUUAAAUCAUUUAUUUAUUGAUUGUUAGUUAUGUGCUGUUGGUCCACUGUGAUCAACGGUGAAAGUCUUUUGCCACUAUUGAUCACCUCCAAGAAACUAAUAAUUAAUCUUAUCCCUCUUGUCUAUUAAUUUUCCUAAAUGUGAUAUGUAAAUUAAAUGCGGGUAGAAUGCUGGUGAAAAAGACGGAAAGUUUGAGUAAUUUCAGUGUGUUUUCCGGGCACUUUAUGUCGUGGUUACGUAAUGACAUUAACAUCCAGUGCUGUCGUGAGUUCGUUUAAAAACUUAUAGCAACAAAUGGCCUGUUUUAGCGAUUUUUACCUGAAAAUUAUUAGAUGACACAGAUGGCCUGCGCGGCUAGCAGAGGCAGUCAUAAUAAUGAGAUGUUUAUAGAUUUGUUAAGUCAUGUUAUUUAUGUAUUCUAAUCUAUAUCAUUAAAAUGAAAGUAAACGUUUUGGCUAGGUAACGUUAUUAAUUCUAAAUAAACAAAAUAUGAACAGUACAAGUUAUUAAUGAACAGGCUAAGUCUCUGGCUGCGCAACAGGCCGAUUCUGGCUUGGAUGGAUGCGGCUGUGUCGGUAAGUUAUGGCUGUCUCAGAUUGAUUGGGUCCAGGAUCUGGCACUGAGUUCACAGACAUCCAGGCCGGGUGUGGCAGAUGGGCAAGUCACUGGCAGGUGAGAAUUUACCUGAAUCUGGCCUGAGUGUAUGGAGAGGGAUUGUGUAUGAGGUCAAAAUGGUUUUCACUAAACUUUAGUAGAGUCAGCAGUUCGCUUCACAGUAAAUAAGGAUCUAAUCCUAAUGUAUCUAUUUAAAAAACAAACAAACAAAGAAACAAAUAUUGUUUAUCGUUGUUGGUGAAGUGUUAUUUUGGUUUCCGAUCACCAAGGAGAGGCUACGCAAGGUCCUAAAGAUGGCGGCCGUGACAAAAAUUCAUGUGACUGAAACCCAUGAAUACAGACAGUGUUACUACAAAAACAUAAGCAGCAGUUUCCUCCAUCUCCACUAUCCAACGGACCGCACAGCAGCUGUUUUGCAGUCGUGCAUUGGCUGUUGUGAAAGUACUGAUGAUUUGUUUGAGAGCAGAGCGGUAGGUGCAAGAUUGGAUCUGUGAAUGUCUCAUAUUACCAGAUAAUUCGUGCCAAACAUCGUGACCGAUCGAGGUGCUCCACAAGAUUUUCGCUCCGAUUCUUGGGAGGGGAAAAUUGGGCUAAAAAUCCUGUAGUGUGAGCAUGGCUUUAUAUAACCACUGGAGCCGGUUUGCACUGUCACUAAUGUGAUGAUCUAUGUUUCUCUGCACUGGAGAAAGUUUAUUAAGUUUACUAAUUAUUGAAGCACCACAACAUAAUCCACCACAGAGUGAUCUGACUGUUCUGAGAAUUAAACUGAAAACGCUGCACAGUCUUACUUGGUUUGGGGUUAUAGUGGUUUUUCAAAAGUUCCACUAAUUCUCUGAAGCUUUUAUCUCCUGAUUUAUCAGCGCUGAGAAAAUGUCUCAUUUCAUCUGAUUAUUAUUAUUAUUUUUUAGAAAUACUGCACUAAGCAAUUUAAACACUUAAGGAACUACAAUUUGCACAAAUCUGCUCUUUUAUGGAUACAGUAAAACAUUUUUAAAUUUUAAAAAAUGUUUUAGAAUUAUUAUUAUUAUUUUUUUUGUUCUACUUCAAUUACAUUUCUUAAUACUUUAAACAUUCUGGUUUGACCCUUUAACUUUCACUCCCAUUUUUGAACACCAUAAAAAUGCACUUUCCAGACUUAAAUUUUUAUAAUUCAUGAAUGAAAAUAUUUUGUAAUAUGAUUUUAAUGUACAUUUUCCAUGUAAUGCAGUGUCUGAUUUUAAAAUGCCUUUCAAAGGAUGAAUUUUGAGAUUUUAAGUUUUGAACUAAUAUAUAAUUUCUUAUGAUUUCUAAAAUUUGACAGGGAAAAAGGCAAAGAAGAAAGUUUUUUUCUGACAAAGGUCAGAACUCAUGCUAUGAUGUCGAUUUUUUUUUUUUUUUUAAGUUGCACUUUUGACAUUAAUCUAUUACUUUUCCUACAUAAUUUAUAACAAAAAUAUAGUAAAAUAUCUAUUUAGACCUUUCAAACGAUGUAUAGUAUGUCAUGAUUAGAUUAGGAUUUAUUUGUAAUAUGGUGAAGUAAACUUAGGCGUCCCACAGAGCGGACAGAGACAGUUAAAGGGUUAAAUAAAGAUUAUUCAUGCCUCUUACUAAACACCAGUCAGAACUCAGAGAUAUCAGAGCUGAGAUCAAAUCAUCAGAUAAACCAACAACCAGAAACCAGCAGAAGAAAUAAGAAAGAGCAAGACACACAGAUGAAAGAAGAAAUCAACCAAGAUUGGAAAUGUUUUUAUGUCAUGAGCACAGUGCUGUAGAAAUCUCCUGAAUAUUUUCAGCUGAAUAACAGAAAGAGAUCAAAGAGAGAUUAGAGUAUGGAAAAUCAUCCAUUUAAAUGGAAGCUGGAUGCUGAACGCCUGGAGGUAAAGGUCAGAUUGUCCAUCUUCAUCAUCACUGGUGCGUGUGCAGGUCUACCAGCUCUUGUUUGGUCUGUCAGCGAUCUAAUUCAUCACAGAAAGAAUGGACAUCGUAUUUCAAUCUUCAUCAUCCUCCUCCUCAUCACUGACUUUGUUGAGCUUUACUUGAGUCCCUACAUACUUUUAAAAUAUCUCUUCGAUGAGAUCCCCUCCUUUACGAAUUGGACAUAUUGGGAUUUGUCAUCCUUAUGGUGGUCAUCAAGAGCCUGUGGUUUCCUCCUAAACCUGCUGGUGACACUAGAGGGAAUUGUCUCAGUGAAAGAUCGACUGAAUACUGCUUGUGUUUUCUCUUCAUGUUCUAAAAUUUUAUACAUACUUGUGUUUCUCUUUGCCUUUUAUUGUGCUAUUACUGUGAAUAAUAUUCUUAUUAUUCCUCUUGUGUUCAUGGUGUCAAUAAUCACAUGGACAAAACCUUGUGGAGCUUCAUGUUCUGCUGAUUGUCAUUCUCACACAUCCAGGAAACUAGAUUAUCAUAUUUUGGUUGUUUUCAUAUACACUCUGUUGGUGCUGGUGCUUUAUGACGUUAAUGUUACUCGAUUUUUUUUUUUAUUCUGUUUUGCUUUCUGUUUUGUUUAUUCCUUAUUUCCUGACGAGUAUGCGACUGAUUUCAGAUCCUCUGCUGUGUGUGCUGGUCUGCAGGAAGAAUCUUAGUAUUCAAACAUCACAAAUGUCUGAAGGAACUAUUUUAGUUUGAGGAGGUCUGGUAAGAUUGGCUAUUUGUGAUGUCACAUGAUAUUUUGACUAUUAGGCUCAGUCUAUUAAUAUGUUUUAAUAUGAGCAUUAGAUCCUAUGAUAAUUAGGCUUCAAAGUAAGACAUAUAAUUUCUAAAUACGGCAAUUUGUAUACUGUCGCUCUCUUGUUGAUCUGAUUUAUUCUGUUGUUCUCAUUGUAAGUCACUUUGGAUAAAAGUGUCUGCUAAAUGAUUAAAUGUAAAUGUAAAAUAAAAAGUCAAUUAUCAUGUCA